rnacentral:rRNA from 1 species
GACGAACGCUGGCGGCGUGCUUAACACAUGCAAGUCGAACGGAAAGGCCCUGCUUUUGUGGGGUGCUCGAGUGGCGAACGGGUGAGUAACACGUGAGUAACCUGCCCUUGACUUUGGGAUAACUUCAGGAAACUGGGGCUAAUACCGGAUAGGAGCUCCUGCUGCAUGGUGGGGGUUGGAAAGUUUCGGCGGUUGGGGAUGGACUCGCGGCUUAUCAGCUUGUUGGUGGGGUAGUGGCUUACCAAGGCUUUGACGGGUAGCCGGCCUGAGAGGGUGACCGGCCACAUUGGGACUGAGAUACGGCCCAGACUCCUACGGGAGGCAGCAGUGGGGAAUAUUGCACAAUGGGCGGAAGCCUGAUGCAGCAACGCCGCGUGCGGGAUGACGGCCUUCGGGUUGUAAACCGCCUUCGCCUGUGACGAAGCGUGAGUGACGGUAAUGGGUAAGGAAGCACCGGCUAACUACGUG